ACGUGAUUAAAAUGAGCAUUUUCAGAUUAGCCAGGGGCACACAAGUCGCCGAGGACCAGCUGCCCUCGCCGUGUACACGAGUGAUGAGCGCCCGUCAUGACCUGGAGGUGGACAUGUCAGCAAUUUCCAAAGGACAUUUAAACAUACGCACAAUCUUUAGAGAUUAACAGCGGAUUUGAGUUUUAAACAACAUUCUCGCAUGAACAACCGUCAAAACUUUAUUUCAUGGUACAUUUAGAGCAAUAUUUGAUCAUUGGAUUGGUUCUGUUCAGUGUGAGAUUGAAUCGGAUUGAACCGUCUUUGGAUUGAACUGUUUGCUGGGAGAUCGGAAAUCUUUUUCGCACGUGCUUUAAAGCUUAGUCAUCAACAUGUAAUAAGUGUAUAGUGUAAAUGCGUGUGACUGAAUUAUAGUGAAAUGCUAAUCAAUCGUGUUGGUAAUUACACAAAAAUGCAAUCGGUUUCGGGUGGGAUCCGACUCUUACAAAUCACUUAAGUGAGCCGAUUCCUAGAACCGAACCGAGUCACUCGACUCAAACAAUGCCGACUCGCUUCACUAGACAACGUGGAGAUGUCGUGGUCUCAUCCAAACGGAUUUAUCGCACAGCAUUGAGUUAAAGUGACCACAGAAUAAAGUAAGCAAGUGUCAGAGGCAGAGGAGACACAUCAACCAGCAAGUGUGUAACUUAUCAGGAAAAUGACUGACUGAAUGGAUGACUGUCUAGGUUGCAAGCUGGACAUACAUGUUACAGUUAAGUAUUUCAGCUACAACAUACUGUUAAAUCACAGUAACCAUCUUGCCAUUAAAUGUAACUUCACAGUAAAGUAUAUUUAAUUCUACAAGAGAAUACGGUGAAAUCACAGAAAUGGGCCUUACUAUCUACCUUGACGUCACAUAUGGCUGUAAUUUCACUGUAAGUAAGUGUAAAACAAAUCACAGUGGCUUACUGGGAAAGUAAUACAAUUAUUAGUCAGUAAUUUACUGUUAAUUAGGGGUCAAAUAUUUUACAAUGUAUCAAUAAAACUCGUAAACAUUUUUCUGUCAUUCUGUUUUUUAAGGUGAGCGCUGAAUUUAAGAGAGAAGCCACUGUGCACCGUGGAUCUUCACAGCUGCUGAGGAGCUCUUGGAGUAAGACAGAGAUCUGAGACUAAAGAAUCGACAAGAACUGAACGGCUUGUGAGGGCAGUAAAGUUGACCUGAGCAGGGGCCUUCUACAGGGGACCGCCUAAAGAUACUGGCAUCAUCAUCAUCAUCAUUGAAGGUGUUAAAGUUCUUAUAGACCUCAUCUUUACCAGACUCAGGCAAACUCUGCUUUCACUCUGCCCAAAGCCCCAGCUGGACUGUUUUGGUGGCCCAGGGUAUCUGAUCAGGCCCCGGAAGUGACUGUGGAAACUUGACUGGCCCUGGCUCGCAUUGGCACGCUAACUUACGUUGCGAGAGUGAAAACACGGCUCUUGACUACAUUCCCAGAGCUUGUGUCCACCUGGGUUUGACCUAUGCAUUUUAACUGUGACAAAGAAAAAUGUUUUUACAAGUGACUGUCUGGUUAACACUGGAAGAUAUUAGAGGGUAGUAUACCCAUAAACUGCUGUGUCCUCUUUGCUUCAAUGAAUCUGCAUUAUUCUGGCAAAUAAUACCUUUCAUGCAUUAAAUCAGAUAAAUUUCACUCUAAGACUAUUGUUUUAAAUAAUAUUGUUUAAUGUCCAGUUGUUUGAAACUGCUGUUUAAAAAAAGAUGAUCAAAGUCCUUGUUAAGAUGAUCAGUUUGUUUAUAUGUACAUGUUUUAUUGUGUAUUAUAUGACGUAUUGUCUAUUAUAAGAUUGUUGUUACUCUGUAUUGUGGCUCCACACUGCUGAACAGGCUCCACUAAUUUGAGCUAAAUUGAAUUAAAUUUUACUCAAUCCAUA